GAUGAACGCUGGCGGCGUGCUUAACACAUGCAAGUCGAACGGAAAGGCUCCUGCUUGCCGGGGUACUCGAGUGUCGAACGGGUGAGUAACACGUGGGUGAUCUGCCCUGCACUUCGGGAUAAGCCUGGGAAACUGGGUCUAAUACCGGAUAGGACGAUGUUUUGGAUGCCAUUGUGGUAAGUUAUUCGGUGUGGGAUGAUCUCGCGGCCUAUCAGCUGGUUGGUGGGGUAAUGGCCUCCCAAGGAGUCGACGGGUAGCCGGCCUGCGGGGGUGUCCGGCCACAUUUGGACUGAGAUACGGCCCAGAUUCCUACGUGCGGGAGCAGUUGGGAAUAAUGCACAAUGGGCGCAAGCCUGAUGCAGCGACGCCGCGUGGGGGAUUACGGCCUUCGGGUUGUAAACUCCUUUCGCUAGCGAAGAAGCGCAAGUGAGGGUACCUGGAGAAGAAGCACCGGCUAACUACGUG
rnacentral:rRNA from 1 species